CUUUCUGUGGCUUGCUUCUUUUUUACUUGGAUCAUAUUAGCAGUUGGAUUGUCGAUGUUGGUGAUAGGCACUUUGUCAAAUAACAAGUCAAGAGCUUCGUGUGGUUUCUCACACCAUCAUUUUCUAUCAAUUGGAGGCAUUUUGUGCUUUGUUCAUGGACUGUUCUGUGUUGCAUAUUACGUUUCUGCCACUGCUGCUCUUACUGAGGAAGAAAAGUAUGGUGGUGCUUAAGCUUAUAACCAUAAGGCCCUUUUAUGUGCUGCGCUUUUCUUUUCCUUUUUUCCUUUCUUU
rnacentral:misc_RNA from 1 species